GACGUAGGGGGCGAGCGUUGUCCGGAUUUAUUGGGCGUAAGGAGCGCGUAGGCGGCCCGGAAAGUCGGAUGUGAAAACCCGGGGCUCAACCCCGGGCCUGCAUCCGAUACUCCCGGGCUGGAGGCAGGUAGGGGAGAUCGGAAUUCCUGGUGUAGCGGUGAAAUGCGUAGAGAUUGGGAAGAACACCGGUGGCGAAAGCGCUCUGCUGGGCCGCAACUGACACUAAUGGACGAAAGCUAGGGGAGCGAAUGGG
rnacentral:rRNA from 1 species